rnacentral:rRNA from 1 species
AGGCAGCAGUGAGGAUAUUGGUCAAUGGACGGRAGYCUGAACCAGCCAAGUAGCGUGAAGGAUGACUGCCCUAUGGGUUGUAAACUUCUUUUAUAUGGGAAUAAAGUUUKCCAYGUGUGGAAUUUUGYAUGUACYWUAUGAAUAAGGAUCGGCUAACUCCGUGCCAGCAGCCGCGGUAAUACGGAGGAUCCGAGCGUUAUCCGGAUUUAUUGGGUUUAAAGGGAGCGUAGGUGGACRGUUAAGUCAGUUGUGAAAGUUUGCGGCUCAACCGUAAAAUUGCAGUUGAUACUGGMURUCUUGAGURCAGUWGAGGYRGGCGGAAUUCGUGGUGUAGCGGUGAAAUGCUUAGAUAUCACGA